rnacentral:siRNA from 1 species
UAGCCAAGGAUGACUUGCCUGA